rnacentral:rRNA from 1 species
UGGCGGACGGGUGAGUAAUGUCUGGGAAACUGCCCGAUGGAGGGGGAUAACUACUGGAAACGGUAGCUAAUACCGCAUAACGUCGCAAGACCAAAGAGGGGGACCUUCGGGCCUCUUGCCAUCGGAUGUGCCCAGAUGGGAUUAGCUAGUAGGUGGGGUAACGGCUCACCUAGGCGACGGUCCCUAGCUGGUCUGAGAGGAUGACCAGCCACACUGGAACUGAGACACGGUCCAG